GACGAACGCUGGCGGCGUGCUUAACACAUGCAAGUCGAACGAAGAGCGAUGGAAGCUUGCUUCUAUCAAUCUUAGUGGCGAACGGGUGAGUAACGCGUAAUCAACCUGCCCUUCAGAGGGGGACAACAGUUGGAAACGACUGCUAAUACCGCAUACGAUCUAACCUCGGCAUCGAGGAUAGAUGAAAGGUGGCCUCUACAUGUAAGCUAUCACUGAAGGAGGGGAUUGCGUCUGAUUAGCUAGUUGGAGGGGUAACGGCCCACCAAGGCGAUGAUCAGUAGCCGGUCUGAGAGGAUGAACGGCCACAUUGGGACUGAGACACGGCCCAGACUCCUACGGGAGGCAGCAGUGGGGAAUCUUCCGCAAUGGACGAAAGUCUGACGGAGCAACGCCGCGUGAGUGAUGGCGGCCUUCGGGUUGUAAAGCUCUGUUAAUCGGGACGAAAGGCCUUCUUGCGAAUAGUUAGAAGGAUUGACGGUACCGGAAUAGAAAGCCACGGCUAACUACGUG
rnacentral:rRNA from 1 species